rnacentral:lncRNA from 7 species
GUCUGUUGGCCUUAUUAGCAAAGAGUCAUUCAGUCUCUGCGUAUUGGUCUGGAUCCACAUUAAAUAUAUAAAAGACCUGAGAUCAAAUCUGAAACAUGCAUGUAUGGAAACUCAGAAAAGCAAAUAAACAGGAAGCUAUUUGGACCUUCUACUUACUAAGAACUACUCUGGUUUGGAAAAGUUUAGAAGCUCUCUUGAGUAGAAGUCAUGAAACACGUUUAGUAAAAUAUUCAGAACAUACACAUUUAAGAUUAUGAAGAUUAUUACUACUGAGAAGAUGAAUUCUGGACAGGAAUCUCCCUAGGAUGCCAGGAUGCCCUGCCGGUUGUACAGACACUGCAGACAUGUUGUCUGUUGCAUUAAGAGAUAAAUAAUGUCAUUGACUACAGUUUUAGUCUUUUGAUUGGCAUUUGGAAUUGUGCAGUUAUUGUCAAGUUAUGACUGUGCUUUUUCCUCAUAUCACUCUAUUUGGUCCUAAAGUAGCAAGACAGAAGGAAAGCUGCUUGGGACUGGCUCCUGUGGCUCUCUGUCUUCAGCGGCCUAGUGACAUCUUGUUCUCUUGACUGGAUCAGUGAGAUCAAUGGCUCCUCACUGCUCAUCAUUUAUAUAACCGCUGAAGGUGGUUGCCCCACAGCAAUACUUCCAGAGCCUUUGUUUCAUCUGUAGUUAUUUCUGCUUCAUCAACUUUUUAAAAAGAUAGAGGUGUAGUCUCCAGCAGAAUGAGACAUGUGUUUUCAAAGGACUGUCAUACAAAUAAUAAUGAACCGUAUAAUAUAACAACCCUGACAAGAAAUCACUGCUGGCUAUGACAACUUUCCUCCUGGAUCAUAGACAGGUGCUAUCUUAAUGGAAACUCCAAAAGUAAAGGGAGACUUGAAGAGUCAUUUCAGCAUCUAAUGUAAGAACCAAAUGGCUGCAGCUCAGUGCAGCUUCAGGAGUAGGAAAAAUGAAAGUAAUCCCAGUAGUAGAAUUAGUGGGCGACCAAAAUGCUGGUCAAAGGUGCAUGAUAAAAUAAAUGCUAAAACAUAGUUCUGCAGUUUUCAAUGUGCACUCAGAAUUUUGUGGACAUUUUGUUGUUCUAUGUACAGACGUGUCCUUGAGCUUUUCAAUACACUGCCUUUCCAACAGAGGAGUAAAGCAGGUUUUGAUAAACGGAAAUUUCAGGGAUUCACUAUGUAAACCAUUUGAGUUAAGGAUGUCUUAUUUACUUUUAC